rnacentral:rRNA from 1 species
AAUGAACGUUGGCGGCGUGGAUUAGGCAUGCAAGUCGAGCGAGAACCGUAGCAAUACGGGGACAGCGGCGCAAGGGACAGUAAUGUGUAGAUCAUCUGCCCUCAGGUCCGGGAUAGCUGCGGGAAACUGCAGGUAAUACCGGAUAACAUCUCCGGAUCAAAGGUGUGAUUCCGCCUGAGGAUGAGUCUGCAUCCUAUUAGCUAGUUGGUAGGGUAAUGGCCUACCAAGGCUUUGAUGGGUAGCGGGUGUGAGAGCACGACCCGCGUCAUUGGGACUGAGACACUGCCCAGACACCUACGGGUGGCUGCAGUCGAGAAUCUUCGGCAAUGGGCGCAAGCCUGACCGAGCGACGCCGCGUGUGGGAUGAAGGCCUUCGGGUUGUAAACCACUGUCAGAGGGGAUGAAAUGCAGGUGGGUUCUCCCAUCUGUUUGACAUAGCCUCAGAGGAAGGACGGGCUAAGUUCGUGCCAGCCGCCGCUGUAAAAC